AUACGGAGGAUGCAAGCGUUAUCCGGAUUCAUUGGGUUUAAAGGGUGCGCAGGCGGGGAUGUAAGUCAGUGGUGAAAUACUGCCGCUUAACGGUAGAAUUGCCAUUGAUACUGCAUUUCUUGAGUAUGGUUGAGGUAGGCGGAAUGUGCAGUGUAGCGGUGAAAUGCAUAGAGAUUGCACAGAACACCGAUUGCGGAGGCAGCUUACUAAGCCAUAACUGACGCUGAGGCACGAAAGCGUGGGGAGCGAACAGGAUUAGAUACCCUGGUAGUCCACGCUGUAAACGAUGUUCACUCGCUGUUUGCGAUACACAGUAAGCGGCUUAGCGAAAGCAUUAAGUGAACCACCUGGGGAGUACGAUCGCAAGGUUGAA
rnacentral:rRNA from 1 species